AGCGAACGCUGGCGGCAGGCUUAACACAUGCAAGUCGAGCGGGCGUAGCAAUACGUCAGCGGCAGACGGGUGAGUAACGCGUGGGAACAUACCUUUUGGUUCGGAACAACACAGGGAAACUUGUGCUAAUACCGGAUAAGCCCUUACGGGGAAAGAUUUAUCGCCGAAAGAUUGGCCCGCGUCUGAUUAGCUAGUUGGUGAGGUAACGGCUCACCAAGGCGACGAUCAGUAGCNGGUCUGAGAGGAUGAUCAGCCACAUUGGGACUGAGACACGGCCCAAACUCCUACGGGAGGCAGCAGUAGGGAAUCUUGCGCAAUGGGCGAAAGCCUGACGCAGCCAUGCCGCGUGAAUGAUGAAGGUCUUAGGAUUGUAAAAUUCUUUCAC
rnacentral:rRNA from 1 species